UCUUAUGAUCAAAUGGCAAUGGUGAUUAACUCAAUCCGAAUACUAGGCUACUAAGAUAAAUGAUCAUAUCAUAAUCAUGCAUCUAAUCUUAUUAGAUCAAAAUAAAACAUCACCAAAAAUUAUGCAUCUAAUCCUAUUAGAUCAUAACAUAACAUUACCAAAAAUAAUUCAGAUCUGAACCUAAAUUUAAACAUCAUAUGAAUCAUUCAUUUU
rnacentral:lncRNA from 1 species